UUGAAUUUUUAGACUUUGUAUCAAAUGAGUACUGUUGGGGCCAAAAUCCUGAAGUGGAAAGAACAUUACUUCACCAUAAACCAGCCACAACCACGUGCUCUCAAGAUUUCUUACAGGGGACUAAAAACAAUUAUCAGAAGAGUUGUCCAACAGCCAAGAACCACUUGUGGAGAGCAACUGAACAAUUGUUUAAAAGAAAAGAAUAAGUACUGCACUCAACCACCAUGGCCUGUAUUCUCGCUCACCACACAAGACUCCAUUGCAGAAGAAAAAGCAUGUUGAAGCUUAUUUAAAAUUUGUUGCACAACGUUUAGACAAGCCUAUGAAAUACUGGGAGAAUACAGUCUGGUCGGGUGAGACCAAAACUGAACUCUUUAGAUGCCACAUUACACACCAUGUUGGGAGGUCAAAUGGCCCUGCACAGCAGCCCAAAAACACCAUACCAGCAGUAAAGUUUGGAGGUGGGAAAUGGCAAACUUCAUAGAAUUGUUAUAAGUGUUAUAUUUAUUUAACAGUGACUCAAAUAGUUUUGCCUAUUUGAGUCUUUUACUUCUUACAGAAUUGUUUUUCUUUUCUUACUGUUUAUGCACCAAUAACACCAGAUAAAAUUCCUUGCAUGUACGAACUUACUUGCCAAUAAAUUUGAUUCUGAAUUGAAGAAAUGAUGAAUGAAAAAAAUAUACAGAGACAUUCUUGACAAAAAUCUGCUACCGUCUACCAGAAUGAUGAAGAUGAAACGAGGGAGGACAUUUCAGCAAGACAAUGAUCCCAAA